rnacentral:rRNA from 1 species
AUUGAACGCUGGCGGCAGGCCUAACACAUGCAAGUCGAACGGUAACAGGAAACAGCUUGAUGUUUCGCUGACGAGUGGCGGACGGGUGUGUAAUGUCUGGGAAACCGCCUGAUGGAGGGGGAUAACUACUGGAAACGGUCGCUAAUACCGCAUAACGUCGCAAGAAAAAAGAGGGGGACCUUCGGGCCCCUUGCCAUCGGAUGUGCCCAGAUGGGAUUAGUUUGGAGGUGGGGUACCCGCUCACCUAGGCGACGAUCCCGAGCUGGUAUCAGAGGAUGACCAGCCACACUGGAACUGAGACACGGUCCAGACUCCGACGGGAGGCAGCAGUGGGGAAUAUUGCGCAAUGGGGGAGAGCCGGAUGCAGCCAUGCCGCGUGUAUGAAGAAGGCCUUCGGGUUGUAAAGUACUUUCAGCGGGGAGGAAGGGAGUAAAUUUAAUACCCUUACUCAUUGACGUUACCCGCAGAAGAAGCACCGGCUAACUCCGUG